GGCUUCUGUGGAGCAGUGAGAGAUCUGCCUGCUGGAGAUGAAAGAGGAGAUGCAGGUUAUCACUUUCUGGCCAGUGGUAUACGUGAGGGGAGGGGCAAGCAAGGCACACACAGCGAAGGACCCGGAGACAUGGACAUGCAAAUUAUCCUGCAGCUGGGCCAUGAACAUGAGCGAGAAGAAAAGGACGUUCUGAUCAAAGUUAAAAGACAGAAAGGAGGAAUAAUGUUUACGCGAAACGUGUCCGUGGAUCUUUCAUCCUCCUCCUCAUCAUCAUCAUCCAGGUCGAUUUGAACCGGCUACAUGGAGCAUGAGCACUAAUCCUUCCUGAUUUUUUUUCUCUUUUUUUUCUUCUCUCUUUUUUUUUCUUUUUUUUUUUGGAGGGGGAAAUCCAAGACGGAUUAUUUCUGUAUUUGGAUUUUCUUUGAAACUCCACUGAGGAGCAUCAGGAAGGUGUUUCCGACAAAGUGGAAGCAGACAGCUCAACCUG
ensembl:lncRNA